rnacentral:tRNA from 1 species
GCCCAGAUAGCUCAGUUGGUAGAGCAUCCCCUUGGUAAGGGGAAGGUCAUGGAUUCAAGUUCCAUUCUGGGCUC